UACGGAGGGUGCAAGCGUUAUCCGGAUUCACUGGGUUUAAAGGGUGCGUAGGUGGGCAGUUAAGUCAGUGGUGAAAUCUCCGGGCUUAACCCGGCAACUGCCAUUGAUACUAUCUGUCUUGAAUAUCGUGGAGGUAAGCGGAAUAUGUCAUGUAGCGGUGAAAUGCUUAGAUAUGACAUAGAACACCAAUUGCGAAGGCAGCUUACUACCCGAAUAUUGACACUGAGGCACGAAAGCAUGGGGAUCAAACAGG
rnacentral:rRNA from 1 species